rnacentral:rRNA from 1 species
UACGGAGGGUGCGAGCGUUGUCCGGAAUCACUGGGCGUAAAGGGCGCGUAGGCGGCGCGGAUAGUCGGCGGUGAAAGCCCGGAGCUCAACUCCGGGUCGGCCGUCGAUACUUCCGGGCUUGAGCACUGUAGAGGCAGAUGGAAUUCCGGGUGUAGCGGUGGAAUGCGUAGAGAUCCGGAAGAACACCGGUGGCGAAGGCGGUCUGCUGGGCAGUUGCUGACGCUGAUGCGCGACAGCGUGGGGGAGCAAACGAGG